AAGGGUAUAGCUUAGUGGUAAAGUACAUGCCUAGCAUGCACAAUGUCCUGGGUUCAAUUCCCAGCACCUCUG
rnacentral:tRNA from 1 species